rnacentral:rRNA from 1 species
CUACACAUGCAGUCGAACGGAAACAUGUCUAGCUUGCUAGAUGAUGUCGAGUGGCGGACGGGUGAGUAAUGCUUGGGAACUUGCCUUUGCGAGGGGGAUAACAGUUGGAAACGACUGCUAAUACCGCAUAAUGUCUUCGGACCAAACGGGGCUUCGGCUCCGGCGCAAAGAGAGGCCCAAGUGAGAUUAGCUAGUUGGUGAGGUAAAGGCUCACCAAGGCAACGAUCUCUAGCUGUUCUGAGAGGAAGAUCAGCCACACUGGGACUGAGACACGGCCCAGACUCCUACGGGAGGCAGCAGUGGGGAAUAUUGCACAAUGGGGGAAACCCUGAUGCAGCCAUGCCGCGUGUGUGAAGAAGGCCUUCGGGUUGUAAAGCACUUUCAGUUGUGAGGAAAAGUUAGUAGUUAAUACCUGCUAGCCGUGACGUUAACAACAGAAGAAGCACCGGCUAACUCCGUGCCAGCAGCCGCGGUAAUACGGAGGGUGCGAGCGUUAAUCGGAAUUACUGGGCGUAAAGCGCACGCAGGCGGUUUGUUAAGCUAGAUGUGAAAGCCCCGGGCUCAACCUGGGACGGUCAUUUAGAACUGGCAGACUAGAGUCUUGGAGAGGGGAGUGGAAUUCCAGGUGUAGCGGUGAAAUGCGUAGAUAUCUGGAGGAACAUCAGUGGCGAAGGCGACUCCCUGGCCAAAGACUGACGCUCAUGUGCGAAAGUGUGGGUAGCGAACAGGAUUAGAUACCCUGGUAGUCCACACCGUACACGCUGUCUACUAGCUGUUUGUGACUUUAAGUCGUGAGUAGCGAAGCUCACGCGAUAAGUAGACCGCCUGGGGAGUACGGCCGCAAGGUUAAAACUCAAUGAAUUGACGGGGCCCGCACAAGCGGUGGAGCAUGUGGUUUAAUUCGAUGCAACGCGAGA